AUGGAGGCUGUGAUGUAUUUACUACCUAUUUUAUGAGGUGGCGAUGAUUAAAGAACACCAAUGGAUCCUACUGAGCUUUCUU
rnacentral:snoRNA from 1 species